CAGGGACUUUCUGUUGGCUUAGAGUUACUGAUAAAGCUGCAAAGACGAAAACAGAAUGUCAUGUUCCCCUCCACUCUAAAGGUUCCCACAAGAACUGGGCACAAUGUCCUAUAGGAUUCACUAGGAGCUGUGACACUGGCACAACCUCUUGGUCCUAGGCCCACACUGAUAUGUAACCACGCAUCAGAGUCAGAUCCAGAGAAGAGGGUUCUUAUGGUCCUAGGAUGAGAACUUUGAGGCUCAGUCACCGUGGACGACUGGGCAUCCGAAGUUGCUGAAGCUUAGUAUCUUCAUGUCUUGAAAAACCACAGGUCCUCUUCGGAGCUACUACCUGUUCUUGGGAGAGCUUGCCAUGUGCCUCUGAAGAGUGUGUAUUUGGUGAUACUGGACUCGGGCCCUCCAUUCAAAAGGAUGCACCUAAGGGGAAGAGCUCUGGAGCACCUGGAAUAGGGGAGAUGGGCAGCUGUGGCAAGACCUGCAAAUCCGAAGCAACUUGCUGUAAUGCAAGAAGGGCUCAGCAGCCUCAUGGCAAAGCAAUUUUUUUUUCCUACAACUUAAAAAAAAAAUUUCAAGCCAACAGAAACAUUUUUAAAAUGUUUAUUUGGAUUUAUUAGUUGUGCAUACAGUUUGCCAGAUUAUUUACAAACACACACUUUUAUCUUGUUUUAGUUUUUUUUUUUUUUAUUAUUAUUUUCCCACUGUACAGCAAGGGGGUCAGGUCAUCCUUAGAUGUAUACAUUGCAGUUACAGUUUUUCACCCACCCUUUCUUCUGUUGCAACAGGAGUAUCUAGACAUAGUUCUCAAUGCUAUUCAGCAGGAUCUCCUUAUAAAUCUAUUCUAGGUUGUGUCUGAUAAGCCCAAGCUCCCGAUCCCUCCCACUCCCUCCCCCUCCCAUCAGGCAGCCACAAGUCUCUUCUCCAAGUCCAUGAUUUUCUUUUCUGAGGAGAUGUUCAUUUGUGCUGGAUAUUAGAUUCCAGUUAUAAGUGAUAUCAUAUGGUAUUUGUCUUUGUCUUUCUGGCUCAUUUCACUCAGUAUGAGAUUCUCUAGUUCCAUCCAUGUUGCUGCAAAUGGCAUUAUGUCAUACGUUUUUAUGGCUGAGUAGUAUUCCAUUGUGUAUAUAUACCACAUCUUCCGAAUCCAAUCAUCUGUCGAUGGACAUUUGGAUUGUUUCCAUGUCCUGGCUAUUGUGAAUAGGGCUGCAAUGAACAUGCGGGUGCAUGUGUCUCUUUUAAGUAGAGCUUUGUCCGGAUAGAUGCCCAAGAGUGGGAUUGCAGGGUCAUAUGGAAGUUCUAUGUAUAGAUUUCUAAGGUAUCUCCAAACUGUUCUCCAUAGUGGCUGUACCAGUUGACAUUCCCACCAGCAGUGCAGGAGGGUUCCCUUUUCUCCACAGCCCCUCCAGCACUUGUUAUUUGUGGAUUUAUUAAUGAUGGCCAUUCUGACUGGUGUGAGGUGGUAUCUCAUGGUAGUUUUGAUUUGCAUUUCUCUUACAAUCAGCGAUGUUGAGCAUUUUUUCAUGUGUUUGUUGGCCAUCUGUAUAUCUUCCUUGGAGAAAUGUCUAUUCAGGUCUUUUGCCCAUUUUUCCAUUGAUUGAUUGGCUUUUUUGCUGUUGAGUUGUAUAAGUUGCUUAUAUAUUCUAGAGAUUAAGCCCUUGUCAGUUGCAUCAUUUGAAACUAUUUUCUCCCAUUCUGUAAGUUGUCUUUUUGUUUUCUUUUUGGUUUCCUUUGCUGUGCAAAAGCUUUUCAGUUUGAUGAGGUCCCAUGGGUUUAUUUUUGCUCUAAUUUCUAUUGCUUUGGGAGACUGAUUGUUUUAGUUUUAACUGAACCAUUUGAGAGCUACCUGAAGAUACCCUUCACUCUUUUUUUUUUUUUUUUUUUUUUGUCUUUUUGCCAUUUCUUGGGCCGCUCCCACGGCAUAUGGAGGUUCCUGGGCUAGGGGUCUAAUCCGAGCUGUAGCCACCAGCCUACGCCAGAGCCACAGCAAUGUGGGAUCCGAGCCGCGUCUGCAACCUACACCACAGCUCAUGGCAACGCCGGAUCGUUAACCCACUGAGCAAGGGCAGGGACCGAACCUGCAACCUUAUGGUUUCUAGUCGGAUUCGUUAACCACUGCGCCACAACAGGAACUCCCCCUUCACUCUUUACCCCUAAAUACUUGUUCUCCUAAAAAGGAGGACAUUCUGGCAUGCAGCCACAAUGCUGUUAUCACACCUAAGACACUCAGCAGUGGCAUAAUUAAGUACAAUUUAAUUAUAUACAGUUCCAUGUUUAAAAUUCCCCAGUUUUCCAGUUCUCUCCUGUAUAGCUGUAGAUUUGUUUUGUUUGUGAUCCAGUGUUCACUUUAUUUUUUCUUUCAUGACAUUUUUUGAAGAGUCUAGACAAGUCUUACAGAAAAUUCUGCAAUCUGAAUCUAUCCUAUUUAUUUUUCAUGGUUAGAUUCAAGGAAGUCACUUGUGGUAAAAUACUGCAUGGGCCAUGUUAUCUCUUUACCAGUAUACCGUGUCAGGAGGCCCUUUCAUAGGCUUGAACUAUAUUAGUGACACUAAGUUUAAUCACUGGGCUUGUAACAGUUUUCUAUGCUUUUUUGUCUCUCCACCAAAAAACUGAAUCUGAUCAAGAUACUACAAGAAGCAAUCAGCUAAAUCUGGGAUGUGAAUAAAAUAGGCCAGUUUUCCCA
rnacentral:lncRNA from 1 species